rnacentral:rRNA from 1 species
UACGUAGGGGGCAAGCGUUGUCCGGAUUUAUUGGGCGUAAAGAGCGUGUAGGCGGCCACACAGGUCAGCUGUGAAAACUCGAGGCUCAACCUCGAGACGUCGGUUGAAACCGUAUGGCUAGAGUCCGGAAGAGGAGAGUGGAAUUCCCGGUGUAGCGGUGAAAUGCGCAGAUAUCGGGAAGAACACCCGUGGCGAAGGCGGCUCUCUGGGACGGUACUGACGCUGAGACGCGAAAGCGUGGGGAGCGAACGAGGA